rnacentral:tRNA from 1 species
GCUCUUAUGGUGUAAUGAACACAUUAGAUUUUCGAUCUAAAUUUGAAGUAUAUACUCUUCUAAGGGCU